GUUUGAAAUUUUAUUCCGUGCAGUUGUCAAUCAAUUCAUGUUAUUUAUAGUGACAUCCUAAUAAAUGUUAUAAGCACGGUUUUCAUAAAUUCUUAACAAUGGAGACAAAAGUUGGUCUUACAUAACAACCGAAAAAUAUAUCAUUUAUAUUCUCUGCACUUGUCCUCACAUGACACCGAUUUCAGGGUUUUGAGUCUUCGAGCGGAA